GACAGAAGACCCCCACGGAUGUAAUGGGGAAUCUGAAUGGGAGGAGACCCCUCGCAGCAGUCUGCCACCUGCCCACCCCCACCUUGGUGCUGAUGAGGCUUCAUUACUGCAAACACCUUCCAUCAGGUUGCCAACAGUUUACAGAGCUUGGCCCAGGUGCGCUCCUGCUGCAUACACAAAAAUGCCCACAAGGAAAAGGGAGAGAAAGGGCAUAAAUCGCGGACAGGGUCCAAAGAAGAAGAGCACUGAAAAGUGAAAAAUGAGUCUUGGGAUCUGUGCCUGGUACUGAUGCAAAUGAAGGUGGAACUAUACAAACAGCAACACAAUUGGGCCAUUCAUCAUUCCUUCAUUAGCAGCUUUUCUUCACAACACCCCCAUCAAAGAAAGAAAACCUCCCUUCUUUUUAUUAAAGAUCAAGAGGAUUGAAAAGAAAGCGUAAUUGGCAGAGGAGACAUGCAGUGACAUGGAGACUGCAUGCUCAGCCUGGCCUCGUUGAAGGAGUGCCUUGUAUUGCACUGAGACACAGCACCUGCACUGCAAGAGCAGCACUGAUGCAACUCACAGUCUGCCAGCACGUCAGCUGAAAAAGAGCUCUGCAGAAGUGGGAUCAUGUGAAAUUAAUACUUCCAAACAAAAAUGCAACAAUACCAAUAUCCCGCCCAACUAAGGUAUCCACUUGUCUACAACCUUGUCUACAACCAAGCAACCCUGAAAUGGGGUACUUCAAGAAGUAUGAACAGCGACCAUGCUCAAACCAACUGAAUGGGUCUUCUGUUCUCAAUGGGUGAAUUCAACACCUGUCCACACCAACCUCACAGGUGGAGCUGCAGCAGCAAUUAUCAAAACGAGUUCUGAAGAUAAGUUCAUUCAACACCAAAUCAAAGCCUGGAAGUAGCAGCAAGCUAACUAGCUGUGUACAGAAGCCCUGCAAAAACGCAUCCAUCCAUCUUGUUGACAGAAGGGGCUCACACACACAAACUGCUUCCGCAUGAGAAUGGGAAGACAGCACAUGUUGCUCUGUACAACAGCAUACAGGGACCAGAAAUUGAUGGCAUGCAGCUGUGGGGGCAAAAUCUCUUCUCAGCCUGCCCAUGGAGACUUGAAAGGCUGACAGAGGAAAACUUCAUUUAAGCAGUGAUAUCAAAGACAUGUGGGCAAAUAAAAUACAGCAGUGUCUCUGCAAAUAACACAUAAAAUUACCAAUUAUUAUGUAUGAAAAACUAGUCUAGAAAAAGAAACGUAGCUUCAACUCUUUCAUAAUAGUUCAUAUAUGCAGCAAUUACUGCCCCAACCAAUAGCAAAGUAGAAAUUAACACAGUGGCCAAUGGAUGUUUGCAGGAAAUAAGCUGUUAAAUUAUGCAAUUGCUUUGAGAGGAAGUAUAAGAGACAUGAAAUGCACAAAAUAAAUCUGUGGAAUU
rnacentral:lncRNA from 7 species